rnacentral:rRNA from 1 species
CCUACGGGAGGCAGCAGUGAGGAAUAUUGGUCAAUGGGCGCAAGCCUGAACCAGCCAAGUCGCGUGAGGGAUGACGGUCCUAUGGAUUGUAAACCUCUUUUGUCGGGGAGCAAGGCCCGCCACGUGUGGCGGGAAGGAGAGUACCCGAAGAAAAAGCAUCGGCCAACUCCGUGCCAGCAGCCGCGGUAAUACGGAGGAUGCGAGCGUUAUCCGGAUUUAUUGGGUUUAAAGGGUGCGUAGGCGGAAGGUUAAGUCAGCGGUCAAAUGUCGGUGCUCAACACCGGCCUGCCGUUGAAACUGGUCGUCUUGAGUGAGCGAGAAGUAUGCGGAAUGCGUGGUGUAGCGGUGAAAUGCAUAGAUAUCACGCAGAACUCCGAUUGCGAAGGCAGCAUACCGGCGCUCAACUGACGCUGGGGCACGAAAGCGUGGGGAUCGAACAGGAUUAGAUACCCUUGUAGUC